GAUGAACGCUAGCUACAGGCUUAACACAUGCAAGUCGAGGGGCAGCAUGAUUGAAGCUUGCUUCAAUCGAUGGCGACCGGCGCACGGGUGAGUAACACGUAUCCAACCUGCCGAUAACUCGGGGAUAGCCUUUCGAAAGAAAGAUUAAUACCCGAUAGCAUAGUUUUUCCGCAUGGUUUCACUAUUAAAGAAUUUCGGUUAUCGAUGGGGAUGCGUUCCAUUAGAUAGUUGGCGGGGUAACGGCCCACCAAGUCAACGAUGGAUAGGGGUUCUGAGAGGAAGGUCCCCCACAUUGGAACUGAGACACGGUCCAAACUCCUACGGGAGGCAGCAGUGAGGAAUAUUGGUCAAUGGACGAGAGUCUGAACCAGCCAAGUAGCGUGAAGGAUGACUGCCCUAUGGGUUGUAAACUUCUUUUAUACGGGAAUAAAGUGGAGUAUGCAUACUCCUUUGUAUGUACCGUAUGAAUAAGGAUCGGCUAACUCCGUGCCAGCAGCCGCGGUGAUACGGAGGAUUCGAGCGUUAUCCGGAUUUAUUGGGUUUAAAGGGAGCGUAGGCGGGUGCUUAAGUCAGUUGUGAAAGUUUGCGGCUCAACCGUAAAAUUGCAGUUGAUACUGGGCGCCUUGAGUGCAGCAUAGGUAGGCGGAAUUCGUGGUGUAGCGGUGAAAUGCUUAGAUAUCACGAAGAACUCCGAUUGCGAAGGCAGCUUACUGGACUGUAACUGACGCUGAUGCUCGAAAGUGUGGGUAUCAAACAGGAUUAGAUACCCUGGUAGUCCACACAGUAAACGAUGAAUACUCGCUGUUGGCGAUACACAGUCAGCGGCCAAGCGAAAGCAUUAAGUAUUCCACCUGGGGAGUACGCCGGCAACGGUGAAACUCAAAGGAAUUGACGGGGGCCCGCACAAGCGGAGGAACAUGUGGUUUAAUUCGAUGAUACGCGAGGAACCUUACCCGGGCUUAAAUUGCAGUGGAAUGUAGUGGAAACAUUACAGCCUUCGGGCCGCUGUGAAGGUGCUGCAUGGUUGUCGUCAGCUCGUGCCGUGAGGUGUCGGCUUAAGUGCCAUAACGAGCGCAACCCUUAUCUAUAGUUACUAUCAGGUCAUGCUGAGGACUCUAUGGAGACUGCCGUCGUAAGAUGUGAGGAAGGUGGGGAUGACGUCAAAUCAGCACGGCCCUUACGUCCGGGGCUACACACGUGUUACAAUGGCGUAAACAAAGGGAAGCGAGAUCGUGAGAUGGAGCAAAUCCCAAAAAUAACGUCCCAGUUCGGACUGUAGUCUGCAACCCGACUACACGAAGCUGGAAUCGCUAGUAAUCGCGGAUCAGAAUGCCGCGGUGAAUACGUUCCCGGGUCU
rnacentral:rRNA from 1 species